rnacentral:rRNA from 1 species
CCUACGGGAGGCAGCAGUGAGGAAUAUUGGACAAUGGGCGCAAGCCUGAUCCAGCCAUGCCGCGUGCAGGAAGACGGUCCUAUGGAUUGUAAACUGCUUUUGUACGGGAAGAAACACUCCUACGUGUAGGAGCUUGACGGUACCGUAAGAAUAAGGAUCGGCUAACUCCGUGCCAGCAGCCGCGGUAAUACGGAGGAUCCAAGCGUUAUCCGGAAUCAUUGGGUUUAAAGGGUCCGUAGGCGGUUUAGUAAGUCAGUGGUGAAAGCCCAUCGCUCAACGAUGGAACGGCCAUUGAUACUGCUAGACUUGAAUUACUAGGAAGUAACUAGAAUAUGUAGUGUAGCGGUGAAAUGCUUAGAUAUUACAUGGAAUACCAAUUGCGAAGGCAGGUUACUACUAGUGGAUUGACGCUGAUGGACGAAAGCGUGGGGAGCGAACAGGAUUAGAUACCCUGGUAGUCCACGCCGUAAACGAUGGAUACUAGCUGUUCGGGGCAACCUGAGUGGCUAAGCGAAAGUGAUAAGUAUCCACCUGGGGAGUACGUUCGCAAGAAUGAAACUCAAAGAGUAGUAGGACGUCGAGAGAGACGACGACGACGACGACGGAGGGAGGAGG